CCUUCUCUAUAAAUGCGAGUCACAAUGUCAUUCAUCUGCUUGAAGAGAGACAUGACAUUUCUCCAUCUGUUCAUUAAAUUCCAAGUAACCACAAUGUUGGACUUGUGAAAGGCGAGCACUACAAGAGCUGUGUCCGAUUCAAUCCAUAGAUUAUGCCACUUCAUUUUGUGCGCAACCUCAAUUGUAGUCAUGACUGCACAUAGUUCAGCUUGAAAGGAAGUUGCAAUUCCUAGAGGUUCAGCAAAACAGUAUAGCAUUUCUGCAACAUGGUUUCUAAA
rnacentral:lncRNA from 1 species